UGCAGACGCGGAAGCGGCUGUGGAGGGGAAGGUGGCGGUUCCCCCUGAGGAGGGUGUUUGUCUUUAAAGCUGACGCUCCCCGUCCCCCUCCCCGCAGGGAAGGCUGAGGGCGCUGCCGGCGCUGAAGUCCUUGUUGGGGUCCCCGCCCCGGAGCCUCUCUCAGCGGUCCUUCUGACUGUGACUGUGAGGGGAGCUGAUUAAGGGCCUGGGUCAACACCUUUGAAGGCACUUUCUGUGACUCCUCAACAUUUUGUCACCUGAGGAAACAUCCCAGACCCCUAUCACAGCCCGGAAACAAAUGGCUGCUUCUCAGGAACUGGUGACCUUCAGGGAUGUGGCCAUAGAUUUCUCUCAGGAGGAAUGGGAAUGCCUGGACCCAGCUCAGCAGAAAUUGUACCUGGAUGUGAUGUUGGAGAACUACAACAACUUGGUGU